GAGCCAUUGCACCGUGCCCUAAAGAUGGCGCCGGCUCCUUUCUCCUGGAAGGACUGGCGAGAAACAAACAACUCCUAAUAAGGAGAUGGCUGAGCUCCCUUCUGGCUUCCGCAUUGCUGUACCUAUCAAUCCUUGCCCCUUGGCUGCUUUUGAUUGGUGUGCUGAUGGCUAUAAGAGGCAUGGGAGAGGGAAGGAGGCGGAAGAAGAAGCUUGUUCAAGGUUCCUGGAUAAACUGCUUGAAGAAGA